AGAGUUUGAUCCUGGCUCAGAUGAACGCUGGCGGCGUGCUUAACACAUGCAAGUCGCACGAGAACGCUUCAGCUUGCUGAAGUAAGUAAAGUGGUGUACGGGUGAGUAACGCGUGGGUAAUCUACCCUCAAAUUGGGGAUAACCCGCCGAAAGGCGGGUUAAUAUUGAAUGACAUCUUGAAGACUUAUGUUUUCAGGAUUAAAGGUGGCUUUUAUAUGUAAGCUAUUGUUUGGGGAUGAGCCCGCGUACCAUUAGCUUGUUGGUAGGGUAAUGGUUUACCAAGGCUAUGAUGGUUAGCUGGUCUGAGAGGAUGAUCAGCCACACUGGAACUGAUAUAUGGUCCAGACUCCUACGGGAGGCAGCAGUGAGGAAUUUUGCGCAAUGGGGGAAACCCUGACGCAGCAACGCCGCGUGAGUGAUGAAGGCUUUCGGGUCGUAAAGCUCUGUCAAGUGGGAAGAACUCAUAUGGUGUUAAUAUCUCCAUAUGCUGACGGUACCACUGAAGGAAGCACCGGCUAACUCCGUGCCAGCAGUUGUGGUAAUACGGGGGGUGCGAGCGUUAUUCGGAAUUACUGGGCGUAAAGAGCGCGUAGGCGGUCUUUUAAGUCAGGUGUGAAAGUCCGGGGUUUAAUUUUGGAAGUGCACUUGAAACUAAGAGACUUGAGUAUGGGAGAGGGAAGUGGAAUUCCUGGUGUAGCGGUGAAAUGUGUAGAUAUCAGGAGGAAUAUUAGUGGUGAAGGUGACUUCCUGGACUAAUACUGACGCUGAGGCGCGAAGGCGUGGGGAGCAAACAGGAUUAGAUAUCCUGGUAGUCCACGCAGUAAACGGUGAACACUAGGUGUAGCGGGUAUUGAUUUCUGCUGUGCCGCAGCAAAUGUAUUAAGUGUUCCGCCUGGGGAGUACGGCCGCAAGGUUAAAACUCAAAGGAAUUGACGGGGGCCCGCACAAGCGGUGGAGCAUGUGGUUUAAUUCGAUGCAAUGUGAAGAACCUUACCUAGGUUUGACAUCCCGGGAAUCCUGUGGAAACACGGGAGUGCCCUUCGGGGAACUCGGUGACAGGUGCUGCAUGGCUGUCGUCAGCUCGUGUCGUGAGAUGUUGGGUUAAGUUUUGUAAUGAGUGUAACCUUUUUUUUAGUUACCAUUAUUUAGUUGGGGAUUUUAAAGACACUGCCCCGGUUAAUGGGGAGGAAGGUGGGGAUGACGUCAAGUCC
rnacentral:rRNA from 1 species